CAGCCCGGCCGCAGUGAGAAGAGCAGCACGCUCGCCCUGCCACCACCAUGUGGGGCUUUCAGCGGGGCUCCCGGCUGCUGGCCACCGUGCUGCGGACCCCGCGGGUCCCCCAGGCACAAAUCGCCUCCAAGCCACCCGAACACCCGCUCUCUGCUGCUGAGCAAGUCAUCGCGUUUUCCGUGAUGUCUGCAUGCUUCCUGUUGCCAACAGCCUGGAUCCUGGCACACGUGGAGCACUACAAGAGCGGAUCAGGUUAAGAAGGAGCAAGAACCACCUGCACCCCGUUGAGAAGCAUGAGUGAAGACCACAGAACAGAUCUUCACCAGGAAGGAACCCUCUGAGUUUGUUCAUUAAAAUUCACAUUAGCAUUCA